AUAAGAAUGGCCAUACUGGCUCAGACCAAAGGUCCAUCUAGCCCAGUAUCCUGUCUCCUGACAGUGGCCAAUGCCAGGUGCCCCAGAGGGAAUGAACAGAACAGGUAAUCAUCAAGUGAUCCAUUACCUGUUGCCCAUUCCCAGCUUCUGGCAAACAGAGGCUAGCUAUGCCAUCCCUGCCCUUCUUGGCUAAUAGCCAUUGAUGCACCUAUCCUCCAUGAGUUUAUCUAGUUCUUUUUUGAAUGUAUCUUAAAUGUAUCUGAAAUAUUCACAUGGGUGUAGUGGGGAAAAGUGAUUGUAAAAUGGUUCCUUCUGGUAGAAAAACUGUGUGACUGUUACUUUAAAAUAAGUAGGAACCCCACAAUCACCUUUGUAAGUUACUUUUCUGACUAGUUACUGAUUUACAGUUGUUGGUUUUUUUUUAAGUCACUGACAGUGAAAUGGAUUUUGCAGGUUUUAGAUAGUUUCAUACCCAGGACUUAAGCAUUUUAGCUUCCUUGAUGAGUUAUCAGCAAGUUCUUGUUCUCUUUUGAUUUGCAAAGAUUAUUUCACUAGUUGAUAGAGCUUUCAUGAUACACAUAGAUGCAAAAUAUGUUUUGUUCUUUGGGGGCUAUCGUAAACAUGUGCACACAUACCAGUUAUACAGAUGAUAAGCUGCAGUCAGGAGGUACAUUUCAGUUAGAUAUUCUACACUCUGAUGAAGAUAAAAUAUCUGGAAACAGAUUCAGUAUUAAAGACUUUUGUUAUAUUUUCUUAGCACAAUAAACAAGAUUUGUACAGGGAUUUUUCUGUUAGUUUCACUACAACUUGUGUCUGCAUCGGUGUUUACAUGUUCAUAUGGUUUUGUGUGUCUGUGGCAAGAAAAGAAUAUAAAUUACACGGUAAAUUGUCACAUGUUCAUGCAAUUAGCAGAAGCUUGACUUUUAUUUUGUACAUGUAUGGUGAUUAUAUCAGCCUUGCAAACUUGUAUUCACCCAGAAAGAGUUGUUCUUUUAGGAGCAGCAAGUGGGACAUCAGCCUUUCUCCUCAUUUCUCCAUCAUCAUGGUAAAAAGCAAAUGAUUUGAUGUGUUAGCUAAUAGUGGGUAAUUACAUUUCAUCAUGACUUUGCAAGCUUGCAUUAAGUCUGACAGAUGUCCACAUAGUUAUCUUAAGGCUUAACUUACUUUAGAUGGCACAGUGUAAAGGGGUGUGAAUAUAUAAUUCUAUUCUGACUUGUAUGAUGACCGUUUUAAGUAUUUAAUACAGCUGUAAUGAAAAGUUUCCACAUUUUUUGGAAAUGUGCAGCUUAUACUCCUAGGAACUAGUGGACAAGGGGACUUCUAUGCACUAAUUUACUGCAGGGUAAAGAUGACCUUGGAGUUGAUGAUAUUGAGAUAGGGAAGGCUGAGAUGAGGAUCGUAACUGCAGGGCAGUACCUGUCAAGUCUUACUGUCACACUUUUGACAGUAAGAGAGCAAACUCAGCACAGGGAGUAUUAUUGUGAGUUAAGUAUCACUCUGAUUAAAAACCUAGCUGUUUGGUGGCUUCAUAAUAUUAGAAUGUAUUUGCAACAAAAUAUUUACUACAUUCCAGAAUUCUUAGGCCACUAUUCAGUGUGUGAUUGACUUAUAUUAUACUUGAGCUGCAUUGUUUUUUACCUCAAGUCUUGGCAAAGAGAAUCCUUCUUGCCUUGAAAUUCAUACCUGUAUGGGAGAUUAUCUUGAUCUCUCAAAAGUCUGCUUGCUACCAGAGUACUGGAAUUUAAUUAUUCAUGUCAAGGGACCUUUUUUUCCUGGUAAUCGUAGGUGUUGAUAAUGUACCUAACAUUGUAGUGGUUUUCCUUCUUUAAUCUUCAUAUUUGCUGUCAAGCUUGAAAACCUUCAUUUUUAACCUUAUGUUCCUCAUUAUCUGUACUUAACUUAAUACUUGGCAGUUAUUGCACUGUGUAUUUUUAACAUGUAUGAAUAUAUCCUAUGCUCAUAAUUAUUAUUUACUUAUAAAAUCAUCUGGUAACAUGGGAUAUUUUAUUUAUUCUCCUGGGAUAAAGGCAUUUAUUCUUAGUUACCUGAUAUAAAGAAGUUCUUAGCUGCUGUAUUUUUAGAAAAUAUUCAACUAGUACAUAUAUACACAAUAAAAUAAUACAACAGAAUCUGCAUGUGUAUUUGUGUAACUAAGGUUUUUUUCAGUUCUGCAAAACUUCUUUCAAGAAAAUAAUGUAAUUGCUCCCUAACAAUGAACUGGUUCAUCAUGUGUGGAGUGUAAGCAAUGUCAAACGUGUUGUGAUCCGUGAAGCUGUGAAAGACUCUACUGAACUGUAUUAUAAUUGGAAUCAUGAAACAAUGAACCUGGCUGUGUAGAAGCAGUACUAACUGAAGAAUAUGUAAUGGUUCAUUGUCCUCUUGAGCUGUGAGAAACUAGGACUGUACAUUUUGAAUAUCCAUUUACUCUACUAUUUCAUUCAACAGUUAGAAUUAGACAUGACCUAAAGAAACUGUCAGCUAAGUUCCUUUUUUAAUAUUGAAUAUUUGUUUAACACAGAACAUAAUUAAGCAUUAUUGCUAUAGCUCAUAAUUUCCUGACCUUCAUGUUUUGUGUUUUGCAGUUUUCUUUAUAUGCAGUGGUGUUGUAGACAUGUCAGUCCCAGGAUAUUAGAGAGACAAGGAGGGUGAGGUGAUAUCUUUUAUUGGACCAACUUGUGUUGGUAAGAGACCCAAGCGUUCAAGCUGACACAGAGCUCUUCUUCAGGUCUGACAAAUGUACUCACAGUAUCACAGCUAAAUACAAGGUGGAACAGGUUGUUUAGUAUAAGUAGUUAACACAUAUUUCAAAGGACCAUUGAAGGUGAAAUGCCCUAUUAACACCUCUCCAGCCAGAAAAGAGAAAAAAAUGGGGAAAGGGAGGUUAGUUUGUUAUACACCAUAAAUCCAACGUCUCUGUUCAGUCCAUGAUUUUUAGUGUCUAGCAGAGUUAUGAAUUUAAAUCCCCAGGCUCAUCUUUUGAAGGUGGUGUGCAGGUUUCCUUUGAUGAGGAGGAUGGAUAGGUCAGGUAUAGAGUGUUUGCUUUAGGAAAAGUGUUCACCCACAGGUGACUAUUUUUGUCUUUGAUCACUUUCCUGUGUGAGUUCAUUUGAGAGCAUAGUGCUUGUCUGGUUUCACUCACGUAGAGGCUAUUGGAUGAGCUACCCAACGUGUUGUGAUUGGCAUGUGUAGGAACCAUGGAUCUUGAAAAGUGUGUACUAUGGAGUGUUGAUCACUGUAGCAAUGGAGAUACGUUUUAAGGUUUUGCAUCUGUUGUUCUGGAAGGGUCUGGUGGUGCUUUGAGGUGGUCGGGGAGUUUGCUUUUGAUGAUGAGGGUGGCGAGGUUGGGGGAUUGUGUAAAGUCCAGAAGAGGUGGUUCAGGAAGAUUUUUCAGGUUGGGAUCCCCAUCAAGUAUGGGUUGUAAUUGUUUGACAUAGCCUGUAUGAGCUCCAGUGUGGGAUGGUAGGUGACAACUAGAGCUGUGCAGUCAGAGGGGAUUUUAUUUCUGUAUUGAAGCAAGUUCUCAGGAUAUUUGGGUGGCCUGUUCCAUAAUGGGAUCUACUUCUCUGGUGGAGUGUCCUUGUUUGGUGAAAGUGGUUUUAACUGUAUUAAGGCGUAUAUCCUGGACUUCCUUCUCUGAGCAUAUUCUGUGGUAUCUAAGUGCCUGACUGAGUGUGUUUGUGGUGGUUACUGGAUCAGUACAGGUAGGUGUGGUGAUGUGCGAUUUCUUAUUUAUCAUUAUCUGUAAGGUUCCCUUGUUGAAGCUGAUCAUGGUAUGGGACACAGAUGCUGGUGUGGGAGUGUUCUGGAGAGAGUUUAAUAGAUGAGUGGUGGUAGUUGAAGUUGUGAAGGAAAUCUAGGAGGAAGUUUAGGUCGGCUGUCCAGAGGACUUCAGUAUCAUCAAUACAUCUCCAGUAUAUCAUUGGUUUUGUGGUGCAUUUGUCCAGAUGCCGUUCUUAUGUCACUUUCAUAAGGUAGGUAUAAAGAUAUCAGAUUAAACUUCAACCUAUCAGUUGGACUGAAGAACUGAUUGUUUGUUUAAUUUGAAUAGCCUAUUUUAUUAAUGGGAUUAAUGUAACAAAUUUCAGUCCUACCGUGCCAUACCAUAGCACCUUUAAGAUUUGGCUGUCAUAUGGAUAUUGUGGAUUCCUAUUUGAAUUAAUUUCAUUAAACAUACAUCUGUUGAUGUGUAAGCAGGAAAUUUAAGAUACUGGUUAAAUGUUCCCACCUGAAAUUGAUUAAACACAAUUGACUUGUAUAUAUAUUCAAGAUGUUUUCUAGAGAAUCUGCUUAUUUGAUUACAGUAGACUUUUUAUGAUCAAGGUACUUUUCCUGAUAGAAGUAACCUGUGUGUUCAUAACCAAACGGCCAAUUUACUUGUGAUACAGGUCAUUAUUUGCCUUUCCUAUGGAGGUCCUUUUGAUGUGACAAAUUCACCAUGUCUGAGUAUUAGCAUAUGGAGGAUUGAUUGGAUAAUCAAAUCAUUAUCAAAGACUCUGCAAAAUAACUUGGAGACCUGAACAGAGCUAAUAAGUUAGCAGACAGAAGUAAUACAAAUACUUAGCCCUUACAUGUUGGUUUAUAUCUUCAAAGCAUUGUAUGAACUAAUUCCAACACCAUGCCUGUUCAGUAGGUAUUCUCCCCAUUAUACAGGUGAGGAAACUGAGCUACAGAGAAUUAAGGCUGUGAUCCAACAAGGUAUUCAAGCAUUGCAAUCAGUGAAAUUACUUGCAUGCUUAAAGUUUGACAUGUGCUUGCUGAACUGGGGCCUUGCAGAAGGAAUUGAUGUCAGAGUUGGGAGAUCCUGGUUCUCCUAGACCUUUCCCUGGAAAGACGCUGAUGGUCAUUCUGAAUCCAUGAGGCAAAAGGUACUAUCUUAAAGUGAGCCACAGUGAUAGUUGAACAAGUCAACUUUGUCUCAUGUGACCUCUAACCUAAAGAGAGGGGAGCUGGUAACCUGCACUUGCAGUGGCAAAAUUAACCCUAAAAUCCAAACAAGGGACACUUAACUACUGGUAUGAGGGCAGACCCCCUAUUUAUUUCAAGAGGACACACAGAGUAUGUACUUUUAGGUUUCCAGUUUUGCAGUGUUUUUAAAGCAGUGUGAUUACACAACAGGCAGGUAUCAAUGUAGGACACGAUGAUGAAGCAUAAGUUUGCAAUGCGUUUUAAUUAAGCAAAUGUUUUUUCACCUUUAGCUGUAGCAAACUUAAUUUGUGUCCCAAUUCAGUAUCAAUCGAAGUUAAGUUUUUGUAAUUAAAUUCUUUGUGUAAUGUAAUUCCUUCCCUGAAGAACCGAGGGACGCACCCCACCCCUGUACUUAUUCUCUACAUCAAUACUGACUUGGACUCUUAAUACAUUACAUGGGUGGCGUAUCUGAUCCCACUUAUCCGCUGAUGCUUUAAAAGCUCCCACACCCCAAUCUGGGUCUAUGCUGGUUAUGUGAGAUAUACGUAUCUUGUGAUCCUUGUAACCAAUACCUGUGAUCCCUCAUAAUUCAAGCCUGACCCCAGAUGAACAGUACCUUCCCUCUUAACUUGUAUAUAUUUAAUUUUAAAUAUUAACUUAAAUAAAAAUUUUAAGCUCUUUGAA